GGGAUAUUAGCUCAGUUGGUUUAGAGCGCUACGUCGACAACGUAGAGGUCACUGGUUCGAAUCCAGUAUGUCCCA
rnacentral:tRNA from 1 species